rnacentral:rRNA from 1 species
UACGGAGGGUGCGAGCGUUGUUCGGAAUCACUGGGCGUAAAGGGCGCGUAGGCGGUCUUAUAAGUCAGAUGUGAAAGCCCACGGCUUAACUGUGGAAGAGCAUUUGAAACUGCAAGACUUGAGUACCAGAGGGGAAGGUGGAAUUCCCGGUGUAGAGGUGAAAUUCGUAGAUAUCAGGAGGAACACCGGUGGCGAAGGCGGCUUCCUGGACCGAUACUGACGCUGAGGCGCGAAAG